UACGUAGGGUCGCGAGCGUUGUCCCGGAUUUAUUGGGCGUAAAGAGCUCGUAGGCGGCUUGUCGCGUCGACUGUGAAAUCCCCGCGGCUCAACUGCGGGUCUGCAGUCGAUACGGGCAGGCUAGAGUUCGGUAGGGGAGACUGGAAUUCCUGGUGUAGCGGUGAAAUGCGCAGAUAUCAGGAGGAACACCAGUGGCGAAGGCGGUGCUCUGGGCCGGAACUGACGCUGAGGAGCGAAAGCGUGGGGAGCAAACAGG
rnacentral:rRNA from 1 species